rnacentral:rRNA from 1 species
GUCCAGACUCCUACGGGAGGCAGCAGUGAGGAAUAUUGGUCAAUGGCCGGAAGGCUGAACCAGCCAAGCCGCGUGAAGGACGAAGGUGCCAAGCAUUGUAAACUUCUUUUGUCAAGGGACAAAAUCAGGCUCGAGAGCCUGACCGAGGGUACUUGAAGAAAAAGCAUCGGCUAACUCCGUGCCAGCAGCCGCGGUAAUACGGAGGAUGCGAGCGUUAUCCGGUUUUAUUGGGUUUAAAGGGUGCGAAGGCGGAGUUUUAAGUCGGGGGUAAAAGCCGGGGCCUCACCCCCGGGGAGCCGUUGAAACUGGCUGUCUUGAGAUGUCGAGAGGUAUGCGGAAUGCGCAGUGUAGCGGUGAAAUGCUUAGAUAUUGCGCAGAACUCCGAUUGCGAAGGCAGCGUACCGGCGCCCAACUGACGCUCAUGCACGAAAGCGUGGGUAUCGAACAGGAUUAGAUACCCCUGUAU